CUGGCUUUGAACUCGAAGUUUUCCUGCCUUGGCCUCCUGAAUCACUGGGAUUACAGAUGCUCCUUGCCUUAUGAAGGUGUUACUUCCCUGCAAGCCUACAUAAAUUGAAAAUGUUACAAGUGAAAAAAAAUGUAGUUUAUGCAUCUAAUCUACAAGACAUCAUAGCAUAGCCUUGCCUACCUUAAAUGUGCUUAGAACAUCUUAUCUAACUGUAAGGAAAUUUACAAUGUACAAAACUUCAAUCACAGCAAAGUCUACAUGAGCCUAGGAAACAGCCCUGGAUUGCUCCUGGCAAACAUCCUGUGAAAACCCGGUUCAGGAAAAACUGACCUUCAUAGAUUGAGUUAGGGGAAA